UCUGAUUAGCUAGUUGGUGAGAUAACAGCCCACCAAGGCAACGAUCAGUAGCCGACCUGAGAGGGUGAUCGGCCACAUUGGGACUGAGACACGGCCCAAACUCCUACGGGAGGCAGCAGUGGGGAAUAUUGCACAAUGGGGGAAACCCUGAUGCAGCAACGCCGCGUGAAGGAAGACGGUUUUCGGAUUGUAAACUUCUAUCAAUAGGGACGAAAAAAAUGACGGUACCUAAAUAAGAAGCCCCGGCUAACUACGUGCCAGCAGCCGCGGUAAUACGUAGGGGGCAAGCGUUAUCCGGAAUUACUGGGUGUAAAGGGUGAG
rnacentral:rRNA from 1 species